rnacentral:rRNA from 1 species
CUUCACUGCAACUUGACAGUGAACUUCGGGUGAUUCUGCGUAGCAUAGGUGGGAGGCGUUGACUCUGGGCUUCCGGGUUCAGAAUAGCCACCGUUGAAAUACCACCCUGGAUCAUCUGGGGUUCUAACCUGCGCUGGUCUAUCCCAGCGAGGGACACUGUCUGGCAGGCAGUUUGACUGGGGCGGUCGCCUCCUAAAAAGUAACGGAGGCGUGCGAAGGUCCCCUCAGCCUGAUUGGAAACCAGGCGUGGAGUGCGAACGCACAAGGGGGCUUAACUGUGAGACCGACAGGUCGAACAGAUGCGAAAGCAGGCGUUAGUGAUCCGGUGGUCCCGCAUGGAAGGGCCAUCGCUCAUCGGAUAAAAGGUA